CCCGCUGAACUUAAGCAUAUCAAUAAGCGGAGGAAAAGAAACUAACAAGGAUUCCCCUAGUAACUGCGAGUGAAGCGGGAAGAGCUCAAAUUUUGAAUCUGGCGGUGUUUGGCCGUCCGAGUUGUAAUCUAGAGAAGCGUCUUCCGCGCUGGACCGUGUACAAGUCUCCUGGAAGGGAGCGUCAUAGAGGGUGAGAAUCCCGUCUUUGACACGGACUACCAGUGCUAUGUGAUGCGCUCUCGACGAGUCGAGUUGUUUGGGAAUGCAGCUCAAAAUGGGUGGUAAAUUCCAUCUAAAGCUAAAUACAGGCGAGAGACCGAUAGCGAACAAGUACCGUGAGGGAAAGACGAAAAGAACUUUGAAAAGAGAGUGAAAAAGUACGUGAAAUUGUUGAAAGGGAAGGGCUUGAAAUCAGACUUGGUAUUCAAUGAUCAAUUUUCUUUCGGGGAGAUGCACUCGUUGUUUACUGGGCCAACAUCGAUUUAGACGGUGAGAUAAUGACAGUUGAAUGUGGCUUGCUUCGGUAAGUGUUAUAGCUUCUGUUGAUAUCAUCAGUUUAGAUCGAGGACUGCGCAUUUUUGCUAGGAUGUUGGCGUAAUGAUUUUAAGCCACCCGUCUUGAAACACGG
rnacentral:rRNA from 1 species